AGAGUUUGAUCAUGGCUCAGAACGUACGCUGGCGGCACGCCUUAUACAUGCAAGUCGAACGAAGUAGUAAUACUUAGUGGCAGACGGGUGAGUAACAUGUAGGUAUCUUCCCUUUGGUGAGGAAUAACACGAGGAAACUUGUGCUAAUACCUCAUAAGUCUUUACGGAGAAAGCUUUAUGCGCCGAAGGAUGAGCCUGCACUUGAUUAGUUUGUUGGUGGGGUAAUGGCUUACCAAGACUUUGAUCAAUAGCUGAUCUGAGAGGAUGAUCAGCCACAUUGGGACUGAGACACGGCCCAAACUCCUACGGGAGGCAGCAGUAGGGAAUAUUGCACAAUGGAGGAAACUCUGAUGCAGCGAUGCCGCGUGAGUGAAGAAGGCCUUUGGGUUGUAAAGCUCUUUCGUCGGGGAAGAAAAUGACUGUACCCGAAUAAGAAGGUCCGGCUAACUUCGUGCCAGCAGCCGCGGUAAUACGAAGGGACCUAGCGUAGUUCGGAAUUACUGGGCUUAAAGAGUUCGUAGGUUGUUAAAAAAGUUGGUGGUGAAAUCCCAGAGCUUAACUCUGGAACUGCCAUCAAAACUUUUUAGCUAGAGUAUGAUAGAGGAAAGUAGAAUUUCUAGUGUAGAGGUGAAAUUCGUAGAUAUUAGAAAGAAUACCAAUUGCGAAGGCAGCUUUCUGGAUCAUUACUGACACUGAGGAACGAAAGCAUGGGUAGCGAAGAGGAUUAGAUACCCUCGUAGUCCAUGCCGUAAACGAUGUGUGUUAGACGUUGGAAAUUUAUUUUCAGUGUCGCAGCGAAAGC
rnacentral:rRNA from 1 species